CGCUGGGCUAACAUCCCGCCGCCGCCCGGAGCCGGGUCUUGCUCGCGCUCUCGCGAGAGAGCCGUCAUCUCUCCGGUGCCCGGGAGAGGGGCCGGGCGGGACGGUACAGCACCCGGAGGAACCUUGAUGCCCUGCCCUGCAAGCCCAGCACCGGUUUUGCCGCCUUGUCUCGAAGGGUCAACCAGGCCAUCUCCUGCCUCGGGACGGAGAGCGCCCUGGAAAAGGCGGAGGGGCCGGUGAGGAGCAGGGCUUCCCUCGCUUCGGGGCUUUGAGCUUCCCUGUGACCGUCAUUUCCUUGUAGCGUAUAAUUGGGUUGGCCAUUAAUAAUUGCUCGAUAACUGCAUAAUGGUGAAACCUGGUACCACUCAAAUGCAACUUUCUUGCUCGUUUUCACAAGUCGAUGUUAUCGAAAUGAAGCACUUUUCUCUGAAUUGGUGUGGGUUUUGGAAUGAUUUUUGCAGAGAUAGUCACGACCUUAGUCACACAACAGCAAUGGCAAGAUUUUCACCCAAGCAAUCUGACUUGGAACCCAUGGAUUAACCAACUGCCACUGGAGGCAAAUCCAGAGACCAAGGGAGCAGUUUAUACAGAAACAGGUCUGUUAUGGGUGGAAUUAGGUCCCUUCAAAAGAAUGUUGAAACCCUAACCCCCAGUACCUCAGAACGUGACCUUAUGUGGGAACAGGGUUAUUGCAAAUGUAAUUAGUUAAGCUGAGGUCAUCCUGGGAUAGAUUAGACCCCUACUCCAGUGUGACUGGCGUCUUUAUAAGAAGACAACCAGGCCGGGCGCAGUGGCUCACACCUGUAAUCCCAGCACUUUGGGAGGCCGAGGCGGGUGGAUCACAAGGUUAGGAGAUCAAUACCAUCCUGGCUAACACGGUGAAACCCUGUCUCUACUAAAAAUACAAAAAACUAGUGCAGCAUGGUGGCAUGUGCCUGUGGUCCCAACUACUUGGAAGGCUGAGGUGGGAGGAUCACUUGAGCAUGAAAGGUUGAGGCUGCAGUGAGCUGUGAUGGUGCCACCACACUCCAGCCUGGGCAAAUUAUGUUUUGGUCGGGCGCGGUGGCUCACGCCUGUAAUCCCAAUACUUUGGGAGGCCAAGGUGGGCAGAUCGUGAGGUCAGGAGAUCGAGACCAUCCUGGCUAACAUGGUAAAACCCUGUGUCUACUAAAAAUACAAAAAAAUUAGCCGGGCAUGGUGGUGGGCGCCUGUAGUCCCAGCUACUCGGAAGGCUGAGGCAGGAGAAUGGUGUGAACCCAGGAGGCGGAGGUUGCAGUCAGCCGAGAUCGCGCCACUGUACUCCAGCCUGGGCAACAGAGCGAGACUCCAUCUCAAAAAAAAAAAAAACAGAAGACAACCAUGUGAAGGCAGGGAGGCACAGAGACAGCACCAUGUGAAGACAGAAAAUUGGAUUAAUAUAUCUAUAAGCCAAAGAAUGCCAGAUCGCCAGCAAACCACCAGAAGUAAGGAAGAGGCAAAGAAGGAUUCCCCUACAGGUUUCAGAGAGGGAGCAUGUCCCUGCUGACACCUUGAUUUGGACUUCUUCCCACCAGAACUGUGAUACAAUAAAUUUCUGCUGUCUUAAG
rnacentral:lncRNA from 1 species